UCUCUCUCUCUCUCUCUCUGCUCCCCAAACCCUAAUUCUCACGGUAUUUCCAUUUUAUCUUCUCAAGAACUCUGAUUUUCCUCUGCAGAUCACUAUAACUUGCCAUUUUCGGUCCCACCGGGAACAGAGCUAGGGUUUCGGAAGAGUCCAGACGGAAAAGCGAGAUUUUGAAGAAGGCACAGCAGAGACCCAAGUAGCCAGCAGCGAAGGCUGCGGUUUCGGAGAUGCAGCAAGCUGUAGUUAAGGACAAUUUGUCGGUGGACAGCAUGUGCUCUUCGGAUUCCAAUUUUUCUUCUUCUUCUACUACUACUUCUUCUUCUUCUACUGCUACUACUUCUUCUUCUUCUUCUACUUGGAGCCGGUCUUCGGCGAAGCUGGCAUGUCUAAGGAGGACUAUGAAGCGUACUGGUUUAAGAGCUGCCAAGAUUGCUCCUGAUGGUGGGAAUUCGCCGAAGAAGGACGUGCCGUUGAAGAGGUGUGAUCCAAUCUGAAUGGGGAGUUCCAGUUCACGAUGAUAGGAAACUGUUUGAGUUACUUGUGUUUUCACAAGCAUUAGCAGAAAUGAGCUGGCCAGCAAUUCUUCACAUGAGAGACAUUUUCAGGAAACUUUUUGACUACUUCAAUCCAUCUUCUGUUGCGCAGUUUACUGAGAAGAAGCUGCUGUCAUUGAAAGAAAAUGGCAAUCUUUUGUUAUCUGAACCAAAGCUUCGUGCAAUAGCGGAGAAUGCUAAGCAGCUGCUUCAGUUAAUUAUUUUCUUUUUGGUGGGCCAUAGAUACAUAUUUUCUUUUUGGUGGGCAAGUUGAGCUAAGGAACAAGAAGAUUUUUGAAAGAAAUUGAAAAAUAAAAUCAGUUCUUCUAUCCUCUGAACACACCGCCACCUCAAUUCUCAACAUUUUCAUAGACUAGCACGAGUCUAUAGGAUGAAAUUCGUCAUGUGCCUUAAUAUAGGUUCCAUUAUUGGAACUUAGAAUUAUUUUGAUAUCUCCAAAAAAUUGAAAAAGCAGGGGAUUGUCUUGAAUGUACGGAACUGUGUUUCAAAAAACGAAUAUUGGCAUCUAUUCAUACAAAGAUAAAACCUAAUUUGCAUCCACUUGGUAC
rnacentral:misc_RNA from 1 species